rnacentral:rRNA from 1 species
GAUGAACGCUGGCGGCGUGCCUAAUACAUGCAAGUCGAGCGAACGGACGAGAAGCUUGCUUCUCUGAUGUUAGCGGCGGACGGGUGAGUAACGCGUGGAUAACCUACCUAUAAGACUGGGAUAACUUCGGGAAACCGGAGCUAAUACCGGAUAAUAUUUUGAACCGCAUGGUUCAAAAGUGAAAGACGGUCUUGCUGUCACUUAUAGAUGGAUCCGCGCUGCAUUAGCUAGUUGGUAAGGUAACGGCUUACCAAGGCAACGAUGCAUAGCCGACCUGAGAGGGUGAUCGGCCACACUGGAACUGAGACACGGUCCAGACUCCUACGGGAGGCAGCAGUAGGGAAUCUUCCGCAAUGGGCGAAAGCCUGACGGAGCAACGCCGCGUGAGUGAUGAAGGUCUUCGGAUCGUAAAACUCUGUUAUUAGGGAAGAACAUAUGUGUAAGUAACUGUGCACAUCUUGACGGUACCUAAUCAGAAAGCCACGGCUAACUACGUGCCAGCAGCCGCGGUAAUACGUAGGUGGCAAGCGUUAUCCGGAAUUAUUGGGCGUAAAGCGCGCGUAGGCGGUUUUUUAAGUCUGAUGUGAAAGCCCGCGGCUCAACCGUGGAGGGUCAUUGGAAACUGGAAAACUUGAGUGCAGAAGAGGAAAGUGGAAUUCCAUGUGUAGCGGUGAAAUGCGCAGAGAUAUGGAGGAACACCAGUGGCGAAGGCGACUUUCUGGUCUGUAACUGACGCUGAUGUGCGAAAGCGUGGGGAUCAAACAGGAUUAGAUACCCUGGUAGUCCACGCCGUAAACGAUGAGUGCUAAGUGUUAGGGGGUUUCCGCCCCUUAGUGCUGCAGCUAACGCAUUAAGCACUCCGCCUGGGGAGUACGACCGCAAGGUUGAAACUCAAAGGAAUUGACGGGGACCCGCACAAGCGGUGGAGCAUGUGGUUUAAUUCGAAGCAACGCGAAGAACCUUACCAAAUCUUGACAUCCUUUGACAACUCUAGAGAUAGAGCUUUCCCCUUCGGGGGACAAAGUGACAGGUGGUGCAUGGUUGUCGUCAGCUCGUGUCGUGAGAUGUUGGGUUAAGUCCCGCAACGAGCGCAACCCUUAAGCUUAGUUGCCAUCAUUAAGUUGGGCACUCUAAGUUGACUGCCGGUGACAAACCGGAGGAAGGUGGGGAUGACGUCAAAUCAUCAUGCCCCUUAUGAUUUGGGCUACACACGUGCUACAAUGGACAAUACAAAGGGCAGCGAAACCGUGAGGUCAAGCAAAUCCCAUAAAGUUGUUCUCAGUUCGGAUUGUAGUCUGCAACUCGACUACAUGAAGCUGGAAUCGCUAGUAAUCGUAGAUCAGCAUGCUACGGUGAAUACGUUCCCGGGUCU